CUUUGGCUUAUGGUGUGCGCAAUAGAGAUGUGUACCUGGCUUCCGAUGAAAGCACAUUCUGCCUGGUCCGCUCGACUUGACUACGCUCCACUUCAUUGAAUCAGUCGAGCUGAAUGAAACAAAAAAUGACAUUUUCCAGAUGUAUUUUGUCUUCAAAGAGCUGAGAUUCAAUGGCUGUUGCAGCUGCCUUCAAAAAAGACAGCCAGCAUGCAGAGGCCCGGAGCAUGUGGGAAGUUCUCAAGUGUGGCACCAGGCAUGUUUUUUGAUCUCACUAAGCUGCUGCCUAUCUCGAUCACACAGGUUCAUGGACGACUUACAGACAGAAGAACUUGAGGUGGAGUUCUUUUCCAGCACCAAAGACAUGGCUAUACCAUCAGUGAAAAGAUAGGACAAAGGAUUCUCUGCCCAGCUGAUUUUGCAGCGCUGUCCCCUCCUGCAGAACAGUUUUAGUCUUAAUAAAUCAAAUUGCACGUGCCCAAUGAUAUGUAUGCAUUUUCUCCUCCCAGUAUUGUGGCCGUUCUGAUAAUCAUCACAUAUUCUGCUUCAUCAUGAAGACAGUCACACUAAAUGGUUUGUGCUCCUUACUUGGCUCACUUAUUGUCAUGUCUGUGUAAUCAUGUUUUGUCUUAGUCAUGUUUUGUUUAGUUAUUGGACUCUUUAGUUUCUGGCUUUUCACUCCCUUGUCUUGUUUCCAUGAUUACCCAUUAGUUUCACCUGUUCCACGUUUGGACUCAUUGUGCACUCUUGUUUGUCACCAUUGCAACCCAUUAGUUUUCACCUGUCACGUCGCGCACCUGUUUCACGUUUUGAGUCACGCACCUGUUUUCGUUAAUCAUGUCUGUAGUACUUAAGCUCAUUGUUUUUCAGUUUGUCUUUCUGGUGACAUCCCCACAUUUAUGCUCUACACAUUUCUGACACUUUUUUCAUGUCCAUCGUUCACGCUGUUCCUUUUUGUCCAUGCCAAGUAAGUUUUGUUUAUUAUU